rnacentral:lncRNA from 1 species
UUAACGGUUGUUGUCAGCUAUCGCAACAAGAUAAAUGUAUAAUACACUUAAAUUAAUAUAUAAAUGAUGAAAUGAAAAUAUAUUCAUCAACAGAAUCAUAAUUCAAAAUAUACAACUACGAUGAUCCAUUUAUAAAAGCAAAAUAUACGAUAAAAGUGUUUAAUAAUCCAAGAGUUGGAAUAUAUAAGUUUGAAAAAUAGUUCAAAAAUAAAAACAUUCCUAGAUUGUCUGAAGAUUCUUCAACCAAUACUUUUAGGUAAGGUCUUCAUUGCUUUCAUCUUCCCCUUGAUCAUUUGGUUCACCUGUAAAUUCAACAAGAACAACAAUAAUUAGAGGGUAGGAAAAAGAAAAAUAUUGCCUUCUCAAUAUCAUUAUUAUUGCACUAUAUAUUAACACCAAUAAAAUUAUACAAGUACUUAGAAGACAAAACAAAAGAUGAAAUUGGCAUUGCCACUUCAGAAAAUCAAGCUACAAAAAAGAACCAGAAGUCCAAGUAUGCAAAAUGUUACACCAAGAAAAUCACUAUCUUAUGUAAGUACGCAUUACUCAUUGAUGUGCACAACUAAUUCCGAUUAUCAAAUGUCUUUAUGUAAACUGGACAUCAUUAAGAAGAGGGGAGAGCAGAAAAAGUUACCCAAAAUCAAGUAUUAGAUUAAGUGCAUUAACUUAUAAUAUGACAGAUUGAUAAUUUAGUAGUAGUUUCAUGUUAAAUUGCGGCAUAAGCAACACAAGCUGAAAAAGAGAAAGGAUAUCUUGAUUGGUAUCCAGUUCAGUGCUUCAAACCCAAGCACUAAAUAUCAAUAAAUCCAUUCCAAGUAAGAAGUAAAGUUCAACAGAACAUCAACCAAGAAAACAAACUUUUAUUACUAAUGAAUGCCAUUUAUUAUGAAUAUCCCUAUUACAAAGAAAAGAUAUGGGAGUUUGACUUCAUUUUCUGGAUAUCCAAAUUGUUACAGAGGUUUAAAGAGCAUAUGGUCAAUAGCCAUAUGCACGUAGAGAUGGUACCACUACAGAUCAAUUACAAAAAACAUACAGCUCAACUUGUUUUAUCGGCAAUCACUAAUGUUACCUGUAACAUCUUGUUACCUGUAACAUCUUGCAUUUCAGUAGCAUGGAUAGUGCCAAGUGCAGUUAAUAAAAUACUAUGGUCCAACUAUGCCAACUCUAUUUUUGAGAGACACAUAUUGCGAAAAAGAUAAAUGAUCAAAGAUACUCGACCAGAUUGCCAACUCUAUUUUUUAAAGACUGAAUAAGCAAAAGAUACUCGACCAAAGAGACAAAGCAAGGCAGUUGGAACUGGACAGAACACCUCUAUUGUUUAGAGACACAGAUUGUGCACACAACAAAAGAGGAUGCAAGAGAGAUCAGUCUCUGUUUUUGAGAGACACAGAUGGCGCACACAACAAAAGAGGAUGCAGCAGAGAUCAGUCUUUGUUUUUGAGAGACACGGAUUGCGUCGCACACAAAAGAUGGCAUGUUGAUUGGUUGAAUAGCUACUUGUUGUGCGGACGAAGCUUCUCCUGGUGAACGAGCACACAAGGUUGCUAAAAUAUUAUGAUCAAUUUGCAAUCCUGAACGCUGAACAACUACUUAAAUAGAAAACAUAAAGAACAAACAAGAAAACUAACAACUACUUAAAGGGGAGACCUCUCUAUUAAUUUAUCGUGAAUGAACUAAAAUACUUAAUACAACUAGCUAAAUCUUUGUAUUAUGAGAUCUUGGUAGCACUCGCUCACAGAGUAAGAUAUAAAUAAAAAGAAAAUAAAAGCAUCAAGUCGCUAAAUUUGGUAGCUACAGAUUAUGUGAUGAGUUUCAAAAUGGGAGGCCUCAAGAAGCUCUCUGUCGAUGAAUGAGAGCAAAGAAGUAAGAAAAAAUAUCAGUUUUGAAGAAAACAAUCAGUUUUGUAACCUGUGGCAGUUACAAAGCUAAUAACCAAAUUACUUGAAGCCUUACGGUAAAAGUAGAAUUGUGAAAGAAAAGUUUCCAGUUCUCAAGUAGAUGACCCAAAUUGUCAGCAUGUCAGCUUAAAUAGUCAGAAACAGAUAUGAAAAGAAGCCUGAGAAAUCCAUAAGAGGUUUGAAGCAAAUAGCUAUGUACUAUCAUCCACUUACACUAAAGAAUGACCCAAGCAAAAUCUUGUCAAAUGUUUCUUAUUACUGAGUAUAUUCAUUAUUAUGCAUGUCUAUUAACUUUUGUAAGGCUGGGCAUGACAAUAUCAUGUUUUAGAAAAAUACAUCUAGCAUCACAUUUAUCCUUGCAGUUAUCACAUCUAUGGAUACAAUAAAGGACAGCUAAGACCAGUUAUAGGCAGCAAGGCAGAAUAACAAAACAAAGAUCAAGAUGACAAGGUUGCCUUUUUUUUUAUAAGGAUGUCAAGGUUGCUUUCUCUCUUUCUUUAUCAGUCAUAAAUAGUUUAGCAAAUGUGGAACCAAUUAAAAGCAGAACUUAUUACAUGCAGCACUCUUUGCUGUAUGUUGGUUUUGCUUCUUGGUGACGUCGACUCAAACUCAAUUCUGCUACUACCACUCAAAUUAAGUGGAAAUGAACUGAUUAUCCACCCCUUUUGUCCCACAUUACAUUUUUCUCAAGUAACUUUGUGUUCCUUGAUUUUUUUAGGACUAUACUUUCUCAUAGUUAUCUUGGUAAAUUAUACUACUACAAUCUCUUCAACUAUCAGAAAAUAUUUAAAAAGUAGGAUGGAGAAAAUCUAUAUCUAAAAGUAAUUUUUUUGCGAGGCAUAUAUUUUGAUGUCAAAUUAUCAAUUGUCAAAUACACUUCUUGAUUUCAGCAGCAUAAAUAAUUCAACUCUAUAUCGCAGUUUCCCAACACAAGAUGUUCUCCUCAUACAUGGUAUUCUUCAUACCCGCCUCACUAAUUUUGGGCGAAAUACACAUAAAAUUUGGGCAAAAUAUGCAUAAACUUUGAGAACCCAUUUCAAGAACCAAUUUUUGCGACUUUGUAUCAUAGUAACAAAGGCAGAGGCUUUUGAUUGUAAACUACGUGUAUUUAUACAAGCGAACAGAAAAUCACUAAAAUCAGCACCUAAACAAACCCAAUUGCACACUGAAGAUAACAAAUAUAGAGCAGCUACCCCAAUAAUUUAUUCCCAAUUUGUCUUUUACUUGACAAAUAAAUAAAUUAAUAAAUAAGUAUAUAACAUGAAUCUUACCUAGUGUAAAGGGAGAUGAGACUUAAGUUAGCUUCAAACUGGAGAGGCCUCAAGAAGCUCUCUGUUGAUGAAUGAGAGCAAAAAUUUAAGAAAACAAAUCUGUUUUUGAAGAAAAAGAGAGUUGGUAGAGAAGAACCUCUUAAUCUCUUGGAUUUUCCCGUAAGCCUUUCUCGGUGGUAAUCUUGAGUGUGGACGGCAGCUCUUGUUUAGGGCUUGUAUUAACUUUAGGCUUUUUGUUUUUUGUAUCUGUGUUAGGACUUUUACUUUUUCUUUUUCUUUUUCUUUUUCCUUGAGACGCUUAGCGUGAUAAAGUUAGAAGAAGGUAAAAUAGGGAGGGAAAGUAAAACCGACCCACUAGCCCUUUUUUUCAAGAACCGUUGCCAAAGAUGCCUCUGUUGCAACGGAUUAGAACACCGUCCCAAUACAUCAAUCUACAGCGACGGUUUUUGUCCUAAUGCAACGGUUUAUUUUACUACCUAUCUCAGUAGGUCUCA